AACGUCACUUAUUGGAAGUUAUUAAUGGGGAAAAACACUGUAGUAGAACGGAAGUGACCCUUCUCUUUUCCUAGCUCUAGAAAGCGCCGUUGGGAAAAGCUGCUCCAGUUCCACCGCCAGUAGCGCCGCCUGGACUUCAAAGUUUCCUACAACCAAGUGGUAUAUCAUUUUUGUAAAAUAGAUCAAUAAAGAACCAGGAGAUCAAAGAAUUGGAAGGGACUCAAAGAUAUAGCCUACCCCACAGCUCAAACUCACAACAAUACUUUGAAAUUUUUCUCAAGAGGAGGAAAAAAAACACCAACAUUGAAAGAGUAGAAGCAGAAAAGUUUUCUGUGUGAGGUUGCAUCCUCCUAAGGAUCCAGAGCUCAUCUGAAUGCAUAACCAUUCCACCGUUUUUCAUUCCAUUUUUAUGUGGAUAAAGUUCCUGUGUACCAAAGAAAGUUACAAAUCCAUCGACAAGCAUAUGCAGCUGCUUCUACAGAACAAAAAAGCAGUUGUUUGUAAGCCACUUCGAUGAUCCCACAGAGAAAAGGAGGGUAAAAAUUCCCCAAAAGAAAUAAAUAAAGGAGUACCAUUGCUGGCUCUAUUUCCUCAAAUCAUGUCAACAUUUCUAGUUUGAAGUGUGCCACUGCUCCAUGUUGACACAAUCUACACACUACAGGAAAAAGCAAAGUGGGGACGGACAGCUUCCAUUAUCUCUGCACUUGAAUGGGCCUUCCUUCCUAGUACACAUUUGCUGUUAUAAACGUCAGCAGUUCUCAGUGAGUCACUGGAGGAUAUUUGAUAUAAAGCUAAAAUAGGAAACUGUAUAUUCUUCUGAUUAAAUUGAGGGUGGUCAGAGAGGUUUGCGAUUUCAGCUGCAUCCAACAGGAAAGCUUGUAGGCCACAACAGAUAAUGCUUCCAGUAGGGUAGUGUCAAAGGAGGAGAGGAUAAGGAGAAAAGAUGAAAGAUCAGGGUAACAAUGAGCUAUGUUUUUUUGAAAACAACUAAUCUGAAAGAACUCAAGUCA